CGUCACGGCGCUGCGUCGCAGCACUUCCCCAUCCCGACGCAAACCGCCUCGCGUCUCCGUUCCGCUCUUAACGAACUCUAACAAUUAAACCCCAUCCGCUGUUCUGCGUCCCACCCGCAGCUCCCGGCCCGACGGACGCAGACGCGAACCGAGCGCAACUUUCAGAUGGAAGAAACCGCAGCGGAAGAAGUACGGGCUGCUGAGCAGCUCCGAUGAACGCGUGGAGAUGGCAUCGCUGGAUAGCGAUGAGGACACCGUGUUUGAGACGCAGAACCUGAGGCGAUGAUUUGGGACCAGUGGCACAACAGACCGAGCGAGGGGUGCAAAAGUCAUCCGCUGGAAUCACCGACGCUCCGGUUUUAGUUUUGAUAAUAAUUGCUUAUAAUGACUGCGAAUUAACAGCACAAACUCUUUGGUCGCUGGGGAGGGCAAAGGGGACCAAAACUUUCCUUUCACACGUCUUUUUUGGGGAGAGGUGGAGCUGCAAAGGACUCUGCGCUGAGUGCUGCGUGGGGCGAUGCUCAGGAAGAUGUAACAGCAGUGACUCUGGGGUGAACGCUCUGCAUCUGGCAUUGAGAGCUGCGUGUCUGUGCCCACUGCUCGGGGCUUUUGGGUGCUCCUCUGACUGCGGCAGCAGCCCAGAGCUUGGCAGGCUCGGUUUUCCCUUCCACGAUGUCUGGUCCCUUCCCUGGAUUGCUGUGUGCCACUGGCUGCACCCUGUCGUGGAGUUGGGGCAGCAGCAUUGCCUUAGGUCAGACAGAGGAGUUUUGGGAGGGAGCAGCGAGCUGAAGGCGUUCUGGGAGCAGCAGGGUGGCAGCGAGUGGAUGAUGGCAUCAAUCCCUGCUUGGGUUUACAAAACAAAGAGAUGUUUGCAAACAAAAUGUAUGAGAUGGUCUGUGGGGCCGCAGCUGCUGUGGAAGGGGAUGGGAGAGCCAGAGCCUCUCAGCUGUGCUUCUGGGUCUGCUCAGACAUCAUCUCCCUUUGGAGAUGCUGCUGUUCCCCAAUGGCUGUGCUCCAGCUGCGUCCCAUCAGCUCAGCAGAAGGAACAGCAGUUGUGUGGUGCUUGGGUUCCGUGCAGGGCUGAAUGUGGCUGUCAGAGGGUUGGGGGAAUCACAGCUGAAAUGGGAACUGCUUUCCAAGUGCUUUUGUUUGCAGCUUUCAGCCCCGAAGGGAUGGGAUGCAGCGGGGUGGGUGGUGCAGAGCCUGAACCCUCAGCCCCACACUGUAGUGCCUUUGUUGGGAGAAUUGCCUGCAGGAGUUCCUCCAGCACAGCUGCAAGGCUUUGCCUUCAUGGUGAGCAUUGAGAAUGCCUUUGGAGUAAUGAUGGCUCCUAGCGUUGGGUUGGACCUCCUCUGUGGAUAAGGGAGGAAGCCUUGCUUGCCAAAAAGACUGGAGCAGAGGGGUACCUGCAUGGAGCAGGCUGCAGUGCAUUUGCUGCAGCCCCAGGGCUGCUGCAGUGCGUGGUACAGAUGAGAGCUGCUCCGAGGACAGAGCUGUAGCUGUGCCCUGUCUGAUCACCAUUUCUCCUGGAAAAAUAAACGGGAGUGUUGCAGGGGAAGUGCA
rnacentral:lncRNA from 1 species